rnacentral:rRNA from 1 species
UACGUAGGGAGCGAGCGUUGUCCGGAUUCAUUGGGCGUAAAGAGCUCGUAGGCGGCUUGGUAAGUCGGAUGUGAAACCUCCAGGCUCAACCUGGAGUCGCCAUCCGAUACUGUCAUGGCUAGAGUCCGGUAGGGGCCCACGGAAUUCCUGGUGUAGCGGUGAAAUGCGCAGAUAUCAGGAGGAACACCGGUGGCGAAGGCGGUGGGCUGGGCCGGCACUGACGCUGAGGAGCGAAAGCGUGGGGAGCGAACAGG